CUGUUUCAUUAAAGAUAUAUUUUCUCUGAAGGGCUAAAUGUAUAACAUCUUGCUUUAAGGAAUUGGUCCUCGGUUACUACUGUCAUUGCCUGGAGGGAACAGGACUGCAAGGAAAAUCCAACCUGCUGAGAAAAUCAGGGGAACUGCUGCCUAGAGCUAGCUAAGAAGAAGAAUGGGGGAAUUGGACAAUUCUGUCCCCAGAGACAAGUGAUGCUGUAUGAGACUAUAAAUGAGCUGCGGUCAUGAGCCCUCUUCCUGUGAUUCCCAAAAGGUGGAGAACCAAGUAGCCGCUCUUAGUUUCUUUUGUGAUGUUCAUCUCCAGAGAAGCCCCAGAAGUCCAGAUGUUCUUCUGCAAUGAUCCUACUUUGGAGCAGAGAUGGGGUGCUGUUGACUUUUCCACUGGUCAUUUGACAGAUAGGCACAAAUCCAGGAAGCUAUUUGAAUCCUGUAUGAAUUCUUUUAUCCUCAAAGGGACUUCCUGGAAAGGAAAUCAUUAGAGGUUUUUUUUUCUUUUUCUUUUUCUUUUCUCCCUAUCAAAUUUCUAUUCCCAAGGGUUUGGAGGAAACCAUUCUUUUAAUUUUUGACAUUUUCAGUGGGUUUGGAAAGUAAGCUUAUUUGAACAGACUUACUCUUCUACAGCAGGAAAAAGAAGAUAAUGAAAAUAACAGCUAUACACAAGCAAAUAGCAACAACAGCAAGUGUAUAACGCUCCUUUUGGCAGUGGGAGUGCAACUAAUUGCAAGUUCUUUGUGUCUGUAUAUAAGUUUCUUGCCAUUAUUUGUAAAGUUGCUGUCUCAUGUGCCAGGUCAUCUUAAUGGCCAUUGCAGUCGAACCCUUUUGACCUCUUUCCAAGGCCACCAUUUAAUGCUGUUUUCUAUGAAAUUGUACUGAUGCUCAGAGGUGUAUUGGAAAUAAUUAUGAAAAAAGAAAAGACUAUUUAAGAUCCUGGAUCUUAACAGACUUCAGGCCAAAUUAUUCUGUUAACAUCUGAAGUAAUUCUACAUAAAUUAAAUAAGUUUUGCUCGAGUAUUACCAAAAACAAAAUCUGACCUUAAAAGGUGACUGAAACGUGUAUGAAGCUAGGUUCAAUGUUUUAUUCGCUGGUUGCCCGAACAGUGCUAAUGAGAUGUAAACCCAGCUGAACUGGUAGUCAGCGGGAUAUAUGACUGCUUUGUAUCACCACAGCAAAACAAACAGCCAGAAUAUACUAGCUAAUCUGGCUCAGUAUUUAGAAAGUGUGAAGUGAGAGUGAUUACCAAACUCAACUGGCACCAAUGUAAACAUGAGACUGAAGUCACUAAGUCACUUGCACUAAUGUACAAGGAAGAAUUAUAUAAUUUAAUGUACAGAUAGUCAAUCUGGUAGACCAAAAAUUGUAAAAUGUCAUAUUUAUUUUAGAAGUUGUGGCUUCCAUUAAAUAUAAUAAUUUCUCCCUGAGGCUUGAAUUUAAGUGCAGCUUCAAAGUAAGGCCGCUUCUGUUAAACUGAGUCUUUCAUGGCUAACAUAAUAAUGGUGCUGGGCUAGGGUCUCUAUAGGGUCUAUGUAGAUUAAAAACUAUUCAGGGUAGGCACUCCUUGGUCUUUAUGGUACAGGGCAUAACACAAUAGGGUUUCAUGCCUUGACUAAAGUUCCUGGGGCAAUACUAGUACAAAUAAUAACAUGAUAAUAUGAUAAAGGAGAAUUUACUAAAUCAGUGGAGUUAUGUUGUAGCCAUGAUAACCCAGGAAUUAUGCAAGAGGCGAGGAUUUUUGUGGGUGAUAUCUUUUAUUGGACCAAUUGCAUGGUUGGGAUCAAGUUGGACAAGCUUUUGAAUGCAAGGCAUGCUGCAUCUGGUCACCGAUCCUUGCAUUUGAAAGCUUGUCUAACUUGUUCCUGACCAUGCAGCUGGUCCAAGAAAAGAUAUUGCCCACAAAAAAAAUCUUGCCUCUUGCAUAAAUCAGUGGAGGUAGUUAUGGAGAGUGAGGUCAAAGCAAAGAUAGGAAUGGUCCAAUAAUUUAAAACUGCUUAAAAUCAUUUCCUUAUUAUUUACCUGCAAAGACCUGAGUUUAAGGCUCAAUACCACCAGCAAAUACCUGAACCGUUCAGGGCUGCCUGUUAGUUCAUUUUUCAGAGAAUAGUAGAAAAAUGACUCCUUCCUCCAAAUGAAAUUUGACAUCAUCUUUCUACAGAAACAUUCAGACUAGGGAAUGAGAGGCUUUCAGUGCUCUUGAAACUGUCUGUUACUUAUACCACAUCUGGACUACAUUGUGCAAAGGCAGAUAACUGAGGUUUUAAAUAAGAAAAGGGAAUUUUCAAUUUAUUUAAUAAAAAAUGAAGGACACAAGUUUUUC
ensembl:lncRNA